UGAGGAAUAUUGGGUCAAUGGGCGGGAGCCUGAACCAGCCAAGUCGCGUGAGGGAAGACGGCCCUAUGGGUUGUAAACCUCUUUUGCCGGGGAGCAAAGAACCGCACGUGUGCGGUCUGGAGAGUACCCGGAGAAAAAGCAUCGGCUAACUCCGUGCCAGCAGCCGCGGUAAUACGGAGGAUGCGAGCGUUAUCCGGAUUUAUUGGGUUUAAAGGGUGCGUAGGCGGUCUGUUAAGUCAGCGGUAAAAUUGCGGGGCUCAACCUCGCCGAGCCGUUUGAAACUGGUAGACUUGAGUGGGCGAGAAGUACGCGGAAUGCGUGGUGUAGCAGUGAAAUGCAUAGAUAUCACGCAGAACUCCGAUUGCGAAGGCAGCGUACCGGCGCCCAACUGACGCUGAAGCACGAAGGCGUGGGUAUCGAACAGGAUUAGAUACC
rnacentral:rRNA from 1 species